ACGCAGGGAACUGAUAAUCACGCAUGAGACUGAUGUUUCAGACGCAUGGGACUAUGCUACUGAAGAUAAUCACGCAUGUUUUAAAUAAUCACGCAUCCAAAUAAUCACGCUUUCAACCCUGAUCUGACUGUUACUAGUGUCGCGUACGUGAAGUAUGAUAAGGCCUAAUGUAUGUUAACCGCUCCCUAUAUAUAUAUAUAUUAAACCCAUUAAGUGUAAUUGUUUUUCAAAUCACUCACCCCGAUCCAUUUAGGCUAAACAGUAAACACUAUCCCAUCGUAUCGUCUCGGGUAAGAGUCUCUCACCCCUAUGAAAAAAAAUACGGUUGCAAACAUGAAAUGUGAAGUCAAUUUUUUUAUGAAUAUCGAACAUGAACGAAUGUUGAAGAAAGGACUUGUAUGGCACUAUGGAGCUAAUGACAAACGACCGGAGCUAGAAAAGUGGGAAAAAGAUGCUAGAGAUAAGAGAAUUGGGUUGUGGGCUUCAGCAAAUCCUGAAAAACCAUGGGAAUGGAGGAAGAAUCGUCGUGAACAAAAGAUAAUUUAUAAGUCAACCAUAAAACUCUCAGUUGAAAAUAAGUGUAACCAUUUUUAUGAGAAAACAAAGAGGUGUAAAAAUGUAUCCAUAUUUUUAUUACAUUCUAAAUUGUUUUAUAAAAAAAUAGUUAAAUAUUGUACUUUUUGUAA